AACGAACGCUGGCGGCAGGCUUAACACCUGCAAGUCGGACGCCCCGCAAGGGGAGUGGCAGACGGGUGAGUAACGCGUGGGAAUCUACCGUGCCCUGCGGAAUAGCUCCGGGAAACUGGAAUUAAUACCGCAUACGCCCUACGGGGGAAAGAUUUAUCGGGGUAUGAUGAGCCCGCGUUGGAUUAGCUAGUUGGUGGGGU
rnacentral:rRNA from 1 species